GAUGAAGAACGCAGCGAAAUGCGAUAAGUAGUGUGAAUUGCAGAAUUCAGUGAAUCAUCGAAUCUUUGAACGCACAUUGCGGCCAUAGGUAUUCCUUUGGCCAUGCCUGUUCGAGCGUCAUUUACACCCUCAAGCCUAGCUUGGUGUUGGGCGCCUGUCCCGCCGUUUUCGCGCGCGGACUCGCCUCAAAGUCAUUGGCGGCGGUCGUGCCGGCCCCCUCGCGCAGCACAUUUGCGCUUCUCGGAGGCCCGGCGGAUCCGCGCUCCAGCAAGACCUUUCACGACUUGACCUCGGUUCAGGUAGGGAUACCCGCUGAACUUAAGCAUAUCAAUAAGCGGAGGA
rnacentral:misc_RNA from 1 species